AAUCAGAUUUAUUUAGUUCUUAAAAUGUUCAGAAAUGUACACUCAUUAAUCAUCCAUAGUAAGCAUCUUAUAUUGGGUUAAUAAUUCUGAGAAUAAUAUUUGUUUUGAACACAAAUGGUCAGAUAAUUAAUAAGAAUUAUACGUGGAGCUCCACAGGGCACUGUGCUCGGCUCACUACGUUUUAUAUUGUUCAGAGCUGCAGGUAGAGAUCAUAAGAGAUGUCUGUGUUUCAGAGCUGCAGGUAGAGAUCAUAAGAGAUGUCUGUGUUUCAGAGCUGCAGGUAGAGAUCAUAAGAGAUGUGUCUGUGUUUCAGAGCUGCAGGUAGAGAUCAUAAGAGAUGUCUGUGUUUCAGAGCUGCAGGUAGAGAUCAUAAGAGAUGUCUGUGUUUCAGAGCUGCAGGUAGAGAUCAUAAGAGAUGUCUGUGUUUCAGAGCUGCAGGUAGAGAUCAUAAGAGAUGUGUCUGUGUUUCAGAGCUGCAGGUAGAGAUCAUAAGAGAUGUCUGUGUUUCAGAGCUGCAGGUAGAGAUCAUAAGAGAUGUGUCUGUGUUUCAGAGCUGCAGGUAGAGAUCAUAAGAGAUGUGUCUGUGUUUCAGAGCUGCAGGUAGAGAUCAUAAGAGAUGUCUGUGUUUCAGAGCUGCAGGUAGAGAUCAUAAGAGAUGUCUGUGUUUCAGAGCUGCAGGUAGAGAUCAUAAGAGAUGUCUGUGUUUCAGAGCUGCAGGUAGAGAUCAUAAGAGAUGUCUGUGUUUCAGAGCUGCAGGUAGAGAUCAUAAGAGAUGUCUGUGUUUCAGAGCUGCAGGUAGAGAUCAUAAGAGAUGUCUGUGUUUCAGAGCUGCAGGUAGAGAUCAUAAGAGAUGUGUCUGUGUUUCAGAGCUGCAGGUAGAGAUCAUAAGAGAUGUGUCUGUGUUUCAGAGCUGCAGGUAGAGAUCAUAAGAGAUGUCUGUGUUUCAGAGCUGCAGGUGGAGAUCAUAAGAGAUGUCUGUGUUUCAGAGCUGCAGGUAGAGAUCAUAAGAGAUGUCUGUGUUUCAGAGCUGCAGGUAGAGAUCAUAAGAGAUGUCUGUGUUUCAGAGCUGCAGGUAGAGAUCAUAAGAGAUGUGUCUGUGUUUCAGAGCUGCAGGUAGAGAUCAUAAGAGAUGUGUCUGUGUUUCAGAGCUGCAGGUAGAGAUCAUAAGAGAUGUCUGUGUUUCAGAGCUGCAGGUAGAGAUCAUAAGAGAUGUCUGUGUUUCAGAGCUGCAGGUAGAGAUCAUAAGAGAUGUGUCUGUGUUUCAGAGCUGCAGGUAGAGAUCAUAAGAGAUGUCUGUGUUUCAGAGCUGCAGGUAGAGAUCAUAAGAGAUGUGUCUGUGUUUCAGAGCUGCAGGUAGAGAUCAUAAGAGAUGUCUGUGUUUCAGAGCUGCAGGUAGAGAUCAUAAGAGAUGUGUCUGUGUUUCAGAGCUGCAGGUAGAGAUCAUAAGAGAUGUGUCUGUGUUUCAGAGCUGCAGGUAGAGAUCAUAAGAGAUGUCUGUGUUUCAGAGCUGCAGGUAGAGAUCAUAAGAGAUGUGUCUGUGUUUCAGAGCUGCAGGUAGAGAUCAUAAGAGAUGUGUCUGUGUUUCAGAGCUGCAGGUAGAGAUCAUAAGAGAUGUGUCUGUGUUUCAGAGCUGCAGGUAGAGAUCAUAAGAGAUGUCUGUGUUUCAGAGCUGCAGGUAGAGAUCAUAAGAGAUGUCUGUGUUUCAGAGCUGCAGGUAGAGAUCAUAAGAGAUGUGUCUGUGUUUCAGAGCUGCAGGUAGAGAUCAUAAGAGAUGUGUCUGUGUUUCAGAGCUGCAGGUAGAGAUCAUAAGAGAUGUCUGUGUUUCAGAGCUGCAGGUAGAGAUCAUAAGAGAUGUCUGUGUUUCAGAGCUGCAGGUAGAGAUCAUAAGAGAUGUCUGUGUUUCAGAGCUGCAGGUAGAGAUCAUAAGAGAUGUCUGUGUUUCAGAGCUGCAG